ensembl:lncRNA
UGUUAUGCUCCAUUUACCCCUUGAGCCAUCUCAUGACACACUUCCCCAACGUGCUCAGGCUGGAUGAGAGGAAAUGUUAAAUAAAAAGCGCGAUGACACCUCGACGCGGGAGGGAACGCGCGCUCCACGCAGAAUUAAGAGCGGCAGCAUAGGCUCAGAUGAAAACGCGUAUUAAUAUUUACAUUUCGCCAAUAAUUCAUGGAAACGUGUUUACUUUAUUAUUUUAUUUUUUCCGCCGCACACAUCAGUGCGUAUCAGCCUGUACCGACACUGCCUCCCGCGGCGCUCAUCAGCUCUCACCGCAGUGUGUGGAACCGAAGCCCACGGCCUGUCGCCGAAGAAUAGCGCUCGUUAAAUAUUCAUCCUCCAUUCCCAGUGGCACACUUUUCCUCCCCGCUGAGCGACCCCUGUUGCUUUUGAGCCUCUCCGCACACAGUUGGGAAAGCCGUGCGUAACCAGGACACGGAAACAUGUGACGGGGAAUUGUUGCACUGCAACUUUCCCGUAUUCGGCCCGCAGUCCAGGAGGAUGGAGGCACGAGACUACAGAGCCCUGGUGACGAGCGCCUUCAGAGGCCGGGUGUGCCGGAGGACAGGAAUCUACAUGGGGACCAGAUUUAGGCAGAGUAAACCCGCUUUGGCCAGGUGGACCUGUCCUCACACAGCUACUGAACCUGCACAUAGCACCGGCAGAAAGUCAACCAGGCAUAUCUAAAGCAGGAAUUCAGGAAGGCUAACACCAUUGCGAACUGCAGACAGGAAAUGGUACACUCCUAGCUUUUUGUCAAAAUGGCCGGCAAGAAAGACGCCAAGAAGGACGCAAAGAAGGCAAAGGCUGAAGCCGAGAAAAAGAAGGAGGAGGAAAAGAAGGCGAAAGAUGAUAAAAAGGGAGGAAAAGAUGACAAGAAAGGUGGAAAGGAUGAUAAAAAGAGCGGGAAAGAUGAUAAGAAAGGAGGAAAGGAUGAUAAGAAAGGAGGAAAGAAGGGAAAAGAGGAGCCACCCAAGGGGAAAGAUGAUGGAAAGAAAGGAAAAGACAAGGGGAAAGGUAAGAAAGUCGAGUCUGAGGAGGAAGAGGAUGAACUUUUGAGUGGUGAGGAAGAGGAAGAAGAGUUUAGUGAAGGAGAUGAAGACGAGGACUACUCAGAAGAUGACAGGAGAGGAAAGGGACGAGGAGGCAAAGGUGCUAAGGGAAAGAAAGGGGGGAAGUCUAGACGUGGAGACGAGUCUGAAGAAGAUGACGAGGAGGAUGAAGAUGAAGAUGAGGAGGAUGAGGAGGAUGAUUAUGGCAAAUCCAAAAAGAAAGCUAAAGGAGGGAAAUCUGAUGUAGAUGCAAAAAAGAAAAAAGCCAAAAAGAAAGAAGAACCUCCACCCGGGCCAACACGGGAAAUUCCAAGAAAAGGACUGAAAAACAUGUCGAGGAUGUUCAUGAAGUUUUCUGGCUUCAAAAGACGCAGGAACAGCAGAAAGAAGCUAAAAAGCACAUCGCGUUUGUUCCUAGGGUUAGGGAGGAGAAAGACCCGGCUUGCUAAGAAGAAACGUCGAAAGUCCAUGCUAAAGAACACGUCUCGAUUCAUGAUGAGAUUUAAGGCCAGCAAAAAGAGAAAAAAGGAGAAGGAGGCAGCAGCAAAUAGUGGAAAUAAGCCAACUUAUAUGCUGCUUCGUCUCGGAGGGAAUAAGUCAAGUGAGAAGAAGGGGGGCUUCUUCAAAGGCCUAUUUAAAAAAAAGGCGGGUGAUGGGCCCAGCGACGGCUUCAAGCUUCGAAGCGUGUUGCUAGGUAAAGUUGCAGCAGCAACUAACUGGCUAACCAAUCGUUUUCUGUCUACUAAGAUACGAGGGAAUUCGGGACGUAGAGGAUACAGAAGACAAGGCAAAGGUUAUCCCCGAGGUUACCUAAACGAUGGUUAUGAGGAAGAGAUGGAGGCUCUUGGAUACGGUCAGCGGCGUUCAUUGCAUCAGAAAGGCUACCAAGGCUAUGGCGAUGGUUAUGGGGAUCAUGGGCAGUUUGGCUACUACGACAAUGGCGGAGGGGAAGGAGACUAUCAAGACUUUGGGUACUAUGAAGAUGAAAGACUCUAUGAUUCAAAUGGCGAAUAUUAUGAAGGUGGAUUUUACGAUGAGGGCAUGGGGGACUACUAUAACCAUUAUUCCUCCGCUCUAGGUCACAGCCAGGAAGCAGAUUAUUAUGGCUACCAGCAACAAGCCAUGUAUGGUGAUGAGGGUCUGGACUAUUAUGCCAUAAUGGGUGAAGACCAAAUGUACGGAGGAGAGAUGGAUGGAUUCCUUGAGCCUCAGGCUUACUAUGAUGAAAAUGGUCAACUUGUUUACUGUGAUGAUGCACAAGGAGGUGGAUACUAUGAUGGACAGGCAGGAUAUUACGACGACCCGUACGCAGCAACCAUGGGAAUGCAAGGGGGAUUUCCAACAGACUAUCAACUCAGCUAUGGUGAUAGUAGCGUGCCCUACAAUGACUUCAGCUCACAGCUGGCCACUGGAUUCCUACAACCAGGACAACAGGCUUUUGGUUUUGGAGGGCAAGGGAUGAGUCAGGUACAGGGUCUCUAUGGGGACCAGUACACGGGUCAGUCAGAUCAAUAUGCAGAUGAUGCUGGUGUAGUUCAGGGAGGAGAAAUGACAUUCAGAGUGCCUAGACCUCAAGUUCGCCUGUUUGGAAAGGAGCGUCUAGAUGUGCCCCUGCCCCCUCCACCAACCUUGCCGCCAGAUCCAGAAUUUGAAGAUAUGUCAGAAAUCCAGUAUGAAGACCAGGUUCUUCUUGUACCUGGUCAGUCCAGUGGCAUUAUGUCACCCCAACAGCAUAUGAUGGCACCACAACAACAAAUGAGGAUGUCACCUCAACAGCAAAUAAUGUCACCUUCUCAGCAAAUGAUGAUGUCACCCCAACAACAAAUGAUGAUGUCACCCCAACAACAAAUGAUGUCAGCACAAGAACAAAUGGUGAUGUCUCCCCAUCAACAACUGCUGACACCACAACAACAAAUGAUGUCAGCACAAGAACAAAUGAUGAUGUCUACACAUCAACAAAUGCUGACACCACAACAACAAAUGAUAUCAGCCCAUGAACCAAUGAUGAUGCCCCCACAGACAGUGUCACCACAGCAGCAGAUGAUGUCACCACAGCAGCAGAUGAUGUCACCACAGCAGCAGAUGAUGUCACCACAGCAACAGAUGAUGUUACAAGAAAUGAAUAUGUCUCCAGUUAUGUCAUCAGAGCAAUUAAUGAUGUUGCAACAAGAACAAAGUCUGUCUCCCCAAAUGAUCCCAACACAAAUUAUGUCACCAGAGCAGCAGAUGAUGGUCUCUCAGCAACAGAUGAUGCCCCAGCAGAUAAUGUCACACCAGGAUAUGUUGACAGAACAAAUGAUGUCACCACAAGAGCAGAUAAUGUCACAGCAAAUUAUGUUGCCCCAGCAACAGGUGAUGUCACCACAAAUGAUUACUCCACAGCAGAUGAUGACAGACCCCAUGAUGAUGCCACAGCAGCAGGGUUAUGGCCCACCGUUAAUCCCCACUCCCACUGCUAUGAUUAUCAAGCAAGCAAAUAUGUCUCCCCUUCCUGCUCGACGGCUUCAGCCCUCUCCCACUCCUUCCCGGCGCUCUGUCAUCAUUCCCUCCCCACAGAUGCAACGCCAUCCUUCUGCCAUGACUUCCCCAGUGCCUUCUCCUAUGCUUCCCCGAAGAAUAAGCCCUUCCCCACAAGCAUCCAUGAGAGGUGGCUUCAUGAAUGCCCAUAGACCCCCUUCUGUAGUGUCAAGAAGGAUCUCGCCACCUUCCUCCCCACAGGCAUCUCCCCUUGCCCCUCGUCGAAUGCAAUCUCAUAGGUCACCGUCUCCUGUGGCUCGCAGACCAUCACCUCCUCAGUCUCCUCGUGCCUCAAUGAUGAGACAAAGUCGUCCAACGUCACCAAGAAUAUCAAUGAGGCAGCAUUCUCCACCUCCCUCACCUCGUUCUUCAAUGAGGAGACGAAGUCCUCCACCCUCACCACCUCCUGCUCGUAGCCAAUUUGGAGGCAGAAAGAUGCAUGGUUCACCCUCCCCACCCCUAUCCCCUGAUCAUGCAUCUGUAACUCUCUCUCCACAGCUUAGUAGAAGACCAUCUCCUUCUCCCUCUAUGUCUCAUCGCAGUUUUUCUCCUGCAGGGCCCCGUCCUGCCCAAUCAUCCCCAACCCUUUCUCGUCGCUCAACUAGGCUAAUCAGGGACCCCACCCCAUUGGCCAGGCCUAGGAUGGGCGGAAAUGUUCCUUUAGGUACAGUCAGACCCUCCCCUAUGGGGCUUAGAGGGCGUCCAGUUCCACCACCCACCCAGAAUGUGCGUCCAUUUCGUGCCUCUUCCAUAAGAAGCAAUAGGUCUUCAGUUCUCACCGUGGAUUCCUCCCUGCAUUCUUCCCCGUUCCACUCCCCUCACAUGGUCCACCGUGCCCCACUGGGAAGGAGAGAAUCUGGCCGAUUUCCUCCUCGGCCUAUAGCUCGAGGACGUCCCCUUAUGGCUCGGCAGUCUGUAAGAAGUAUGCCUCGUGCCUCUCCUUCUCCUUCCCUUAAACACAUGUCUCGUUCUGCAUCCCCGCGUCUCUCUCCUCGACUUUCUCGUCCAUCCUCCACCAUCCUUUUCCCCGAAGCUGCCCAUCCGCCCACAUUUCCCCCUGAAACCUUUGCACCCUAUGCUGAUGGCUAUAAUGAGGAGAUUCUUCAGGACAGCCCUUCAUCUCCUCUGCUUCCCGGGGCUUUACAGAAUGAAGCUUUGCGAGGUGCAUCCUAUGUUUCUCCCCUACAAAGACCAGCAUCACCUUAUGAGCAGCCAAUGGCCCCUUCCUCUCCAGUAUUGUCUAGAGCAAUGCAAAAUCAAGCAGUGAGAGAAGCAUCGUACGUUUCUCCUCUUCAAAGACCUCAGUCCCCAUAUCCUGCAUCUGUACCUUCCAGUCCAAUGCUCCCUGGAGCCAUGAGACAUGGUCAGGCACUUAGAGGUGUUGCUUCUUAUCAGACACCACAGCUCCGUUCACCAUAUGGACCAACUGUUGUCACCUCAUAUGAUUACAUCUCUGAGCCUGGCCCAGCACCCCUGCUCCACGAUGCCUUACAGCACCGGUCUGAUUUGCAGGACGUCUCGUCUUUAAGAUCUCCAUUGAUGCAACGCCGUAGCCCAUAUGUAACAGCUGGACCUCAACUCCACAGUGCAUUACAACAGAGCCCAAACCUCCGCCACGCAUCUUAUCAGACACCCAUGCAACUGAGACGGUCCCCAUAUAGGCACUCUGCUCCAAUGUUGGGAAAUGCCCUUCAAAAUUCACAGAUGAUGCAGGCAUCAUACCGGUUGCCUGAUGGGACCCUGGUAUCACCAUAUGCAGAUUCACGGUCCUCCCCACUGCUUGGUCAUGCUUUGCAAAACCAACAAGUACGUGGAGCCACAUACACCUUGCCCGAUGGGUCAGUUAUCAGGGACCCUCGUAUUCCCCUGUCUCCUAACCUUUCCAGAGCUCUUCAGAAUCAGGAUGUCAAGGCUGCUUCAUAUACUCUUCCUGAUGGCACCAUUGUUGACCCCAGACAACGACAACCAAUUUCUCCAAACCUGGCUAAGGCUUUGAACAACCCUGCUCUGCGUGAAGCUUCCUACACACUGCCCAAUGGUACCAUUGUGAUUGAACCCAAAAAACCAAAGUCUCCAAACCUGACUGCCGCACUUCAGAACCCUUACCUAAAAAGCGCAUCAUAUACCCUGCCUGAUGGCACUAUUGUCAUUGACCCAUGGAGGCCCACCUCUCCGAACCUGUCCAGUGCCCUACAAAACUCUGCCCUACGGAGCGCUUCUUUCACGCUGCCGGAUGGGGUUCAUGACCCGAAUAUACCGAUGUCACCAAACCUGGCCAAGGCCCUCAAUAACCCAGCCCUGAAAGGAGCUACGUACACCCUCCCAGAUGGAACUAUUAUAGUUGACCCCAGGAAACCAAAGAGCCCUACCUUGGCAGCUGCCCUGCAGAACCCUUAUCUACGGGGUGUGUCCUACACCCUGCCCGAUGGAACCAUCAUCAUUGACCCAAGGAAACCAGUUGGACCUGAACUAUCGAAAGCCCUUUUAAAUCAAAACCUUCGUCAUGCAACCUAUCACCUCCCUGAUGGCUCUCUGGUCAUCCCCGGCCAGAAGCCCAAUCUUUCAUCUGCUCUGAGGCGAAACACAGCACUUCGUUCAGCAGAUCUCUAUCACCUGUCAGAUGGCUCUGUGCUGUCAGGUGUGCCCAAACCGUCCCCUCCCAACGUUUCCUCUGCGCUGCAAAAUGAGGACCUCCGUGGUGUCACUUACAGGCUUCCUGACGGGUCUCUUCUUACUCGUCGGUUCCACAACCCAAGCCUGUCUGAUGCCAUCCAAAACCAGCAUCUUCGAUACGCCUCGUACAGGGUGCCAACCGCUCUGCAGGGUCAAGAUUACCGCUACGCUGUGGUUCCUCCCUAUGGGCCACGCUCAGGCCACUGGGCCAGGAAUGCUCGGGGGGGCGCGGAGGGAGGAGAGGACAUCUGGGCAGCCGAGAGGGUUUUGCCUCAUGGAACCAUCCAGCAUUUGGCAAAAUGGUCGAUGUACAAGGAAGACGGGAUGCUGGAAGGAUAUUCACCUACACCGCGGUUCGUCGACGGGCAUCCUCAAGACCCUGGAUGGAGUCCUGAGAGAGACAGAGUACCUGGUCAAAGCUGGUAUGAUAAGAUCUACUCAAUCCUAACCAUGCCCACAACGAGCCACAGGGUAAAGCGCUGGGCCGAAGGAAUGGAGGACAUGACACAGCUGCCUGAGCUGAAUGAGACCACAGUGCUGAUGAACCUGAAGAAGCGCUACGACCAGGACCUCCUCUAUACCUACAUAGGCAGCAUCCUCAUGUCCGUGAACCCCUACAAGCUGCUCAACAUCUACGGCACCGACAUGGUGCUUCAGUACGAAGGCCGCAGCCUGAGCGACAACCCUCCUCAUCUCUUUGCCAUUGCUAACCUCUCAUACUCCACCAUGAUGGAUGCCAAAAGGGACCAGUGUAUUGUGAUCAGUGGAGAAAGCGGGUCAGGAAAGACCGAAGCUACAAAACUGAUCCUGCGUUACCUGACAGCCAUACAUCACAAACGCAACGUGACACAACAGGUUGAGAUCCUGGAGGCCACGCCGCUGUUGGAGUCUUUUGGGAAUGCCAAAACAGUUAGAAACGACAACUCCUCACGCUUUGGCAAAUACACGCAGAUCUUCAUGGAGGAGGGUGUAAUCAGCGGUGCCAUAACGUCUCAGUACCUGCUGGAGAAGUCCCGCAUUGUAUUUCAGGCCAAAUCGGAGCGCAACUACCACAUCUUCUACGAGAUGCUGGCAGGUCUUCCUCCUCAGGAGAAGCGCUCGUUGUACCUGCAGGAAGCUGAGACUUAUUAUUAUCUGAAUCAGGGAGGGGACUGCACCAUAGCGGGGAAGGAUGAUGGGGAGGACUUCAGCCGUCUGCUCAGUGCCAUGGACAUCCUGUGUUUCAGCUCAGAGGAGCAGUACGGCAUCUACAGGCUGCUGUCGUCCGUGCUCCACCUCGGGAACGUCUACUUCCAGCCGCACCAGGCUGAAGGUCAGGAGGUGGCGUCCGUAGUCAGCGCGCAGGAGAUCCGGGUGGUGGCGGAGCUGCUGCAAGUGUCGCCCGAAGGCCUGCAGAAGUCUGUCACCUUUAAACUGACGGACACGGUGCGGGAGAAGAUCUACACUCCGCUCACUGUGGAGAGUGCUGUGGAUGCCAGAGAUGCUGUUGCCAAGAUCCUGUACUCGCUGCUGUUUAGUUGGCUGACAGAGCGCAUCAACGGGCGCGUCUACCCUCGCGGCGAAGCCCUCUCCAUCUCCAUACUGGACAUUUAUGGAUUUGAGGAUCUACAGGUGAACAGUUUCGAGCAGCUGUGCAUCAACUACGCCAAUGAGACCUUGCAGGCUUUCUUUAUCAAGGUCAUCUUCCAGGAGGAGCAGGAGGAGUACAUGCGAGAGCAGCUGGAGUGGCAGCAGCAGCCCUUCAGCCACAACCAGGCCUGUCUCGACCUCAUCGCCGCGAAACCGCACGGGAUCCUGCGCGUCCUGGACGACCAGUGCAGCUUCCCUCAGGCAACAGACCACACCUUCCUUCAGAAGUGCCACUAUCACCAUGGAAACAACCCGCUGUAUGCCAGGCCAAAGAUGCCACUGCCAGAGUUCACUGUGAAACACUACGCUGGGAGGGUCACCUACCAGGUGCACAAGUUCUUGGAUAAGAACUUCGACAUGGUUCGCCAGGAUGUUCUGGACCUCUUCAUCCAGAGCAAGAACAGGAUGGUAUCCAGCCUCUUCUUGAAGUACUCAGAGUCUGUGUCCCAGCAGCGGUCUAAUGUUCGGCGCGGCAGCGGGACUCGUCGUUAUCAGGCCAACACCGUCAGCGCCAAGUUCCAGAGCAGCCUGCAGGAGCUGCUGGAGAAGAUGGAACGGUGUAACCCUUACUUUGUGCGAUGCUUCAAGCCAAACAACCGGAAGGAGCCGGGGUUGUUUGACAUGGAGCUGGUCAACACUCAGCUGCAUUACUCGGGCAUCAUGGACACUGUCCACAUCAGGAAGGAGGGAUACCCGACCAGACUGCACUUUCACAGCUUCCUCUCAAGGUAUAAAGGCCUGCUGUGUUUGAAGGAUGCUCCUCCUGCAGACGGGGAGAGCUGCGUCCUCAUGCUCCACAAGCUCGGUCCGGUCAAGGCCGGUUCGUACCAGCUGGGCGUCAGCAAGAUCUUCCUGAAGGAGGACUUGUACCAGCUGCUGGAGGGGAAGCGCGACCGCCUGCUCAACGUCGCCGCCAUCACGCUGCAGAGAUUCACGCGCAUGUGCUUCGUCCGGAAGAACUUCAUGAAGUUCCGGCGGCGCGUGAUUGGGUUUGAAAGCCGCUGCAGAGGCUUCCUGGCCAGGAGAAAGUUCGCCCGGAGGAGGAAGUACCUCAUUAGGUUCCGCUCUGCGGUGCUGCUCAUCGUGAACCGGCAGCGUUACAUGAGGACAGUGGUGGAGCCUGCGAGGAAGGCGGAGGAGGAUCGCAUCAACAGGGAGGUGGUGAACGUGACCACGCUGCCCAUCCCCGCUGAGCUGGCAGCGCUGCUGCAGGCGGCCUCAGGUGGUGUGGAGCUGCACUCUGACUGCAUGGCUGUGGUCCAGGCUCCCAAGGUUCAGGUCGACCCCCAGUUGACUCUGCCGCUGGACAUCAACAACUACCUCAUGACGCACUACAUCCGAGCCAUGUUCAGGGAGCCGCUGUUUGGGAUGGUGACCGCCCCGUUGGAGAGUUCUCUGAUCCGACUGGACGACGAGCUCAAACGCGGAGCCCUGAGUGUUUUCAUUCUGAUUUUAAGGUUCAUGGGGGAUCCCAACCUGAAUGGAGCUCAGGAGAACCUCUUUGGCAACUACAUCAUCCAGAGAGGACUCUCGAACCCCAGCCUCCGGGAUGAGAUCCUGGUCCAGGUGGCCAAUCAGGUUUGGAGAAACCCAAAUAUAUUGAAUUCGGAGCGAGGCUGGCUCCUGCUCUCCUCCUGCCUCUCUGCCUUCCUGCCGUCUCAAAGACUGGCCAAGUAUCUGCUGAAGUUUGUCUCUGACUACGGGCCGGACGGGUACAGCUUCGUGUGCCAGCAUCACCUGCUCCAGGCCCUGCAGCAGCUGGACGCGGGGCCCGAGCACGGGCGCACGUACCCGCCCUGCCUCCUGGAGUGGACCGCGCACCGCAAGAGGGCGCUCACCGUGCUGCACAUCCACUGCCUGGACGGUGUGUCCUUCCUGUGUCCUCUACACUCCUGGACGACGGGGGAAGCGAUGGCCAGAGACAUCUUACAGCACAGGGGGGUGGUGGAGGCCCGGCGGGGCUGGUCGGUGCUGCUGAAGGAGCCGGCCCAGUGGGUGGAGCUGGAGGGCUCCGAUUACGUUCUGGACCUGAUGUCGGACCUGGAGCUUCCCGCCGAUUUUCCCAAACACUGCAGCUACUUCAUCAUCUCCGCGCAGGAACCGAGCCGAGUGCGGCCCAAUGCCAGCAUAAGCCUGUUGGGUGGCGGCUUCGACAAGAAGGAUGAUGUCAUAUCUUCAGCCGGACCUGGACCUGAUGGAUUCUCCAGCCACGACCUCGAGCCUCCAAGAGGGAUGGAUCGUUAUCUGGACAGCUUGUUUGAUCCUGUACUAUCCGACGGAACUGGAAUGCCCAGCAGGCUGUUUUGUCCCAGCAGCAGCAGGCGAUCGUGA